CGAGAAGUACAAAGCUGCGUUGUCCCCUCCCGGACAACCCAGAGGGGACCAGGGGCGUACCCAGCGGGCCCGAGAACAACUAGGGUUUUCCUUUGGCCCACUUGUCAGUGUAAUAUCUUUAGCCUAUAAAUAGAGGCUCCUCCCGUCCUGUGAGAGGGGUUCCUCCCUUAGACAUUAGAAGCUCCCCUUCUUCUUCUUCUUCUUCUUCUUCUUCUUCUUCUUCUUCUUCUUCUUCUUCUUCUUCUUCUUCUUCUUCUUCUUCUUCUUCUUCUUUCCUCGGAAUACAGCUCAAGGAGCACCAUUGUAG
rnacentral:lncRNA from 1 species